rnacentral:lncRNA from 1 species
CAUGCCGAUCCUCCUGCGGAGCGUGGGGACCCACCGGAGCGCACGGCCGCUGGGAGGGCUGGGACUGAACGAGGGAAACACCAGGGAAUGAAAGCAAGAGCAUUUCUGCAGGGCGUCCCAGGGCAGAGCCCACAGAUGGGGAAACUGAGGCACGGAGCGGGGCAGGCGUGUGAGUGGCGCUGAGCCCUGGCCCCYGCUCUCAGCACAGGUUUCCGUAGCCGUGCCGACACGGCCGCCUCGGCGGGCCGCGCGCAGGGGGAGGCGGGCAGGCUGCGGCACGAUAAGGUGAGUACACACGCGCUGCCGGGGAUCAAAGGGCCGGGCUGGCGCCGCCGGGCUCGCGGGGAGCCCCGUCCCCGUGCACGCUGGGCCCUCGGGGGGACGUCGAGCGGUGCCCGGCCUGCCGCCAGCUCCGGGGCGGCCACCCCGCAGCGCGCCGGGGUGGUCCCCGGCACCGCCUGCCGCAACGCCCUGCUCCCAAAAGCACCGGCUGCCGGGGCCGGGACGUGCCUGGGCAGCACCUCUGUGCACCGCCCGGCCCCGCCGCCCCGGCACGCUCGCCUCCCGCCCCGGCACGCUCGCCUCCCGCGCGGCCUCUCCUGGCCGUGCCCUGCGCGGAUCCACCUCCAGCCGGGACGUGGCGGGAGGUCGGCGCAGCCCUCCCGGCGAAGGCGCUUGUUUUCCCAGCGCCUCACUCCGCUCUUUUCCCUUCGCCGGCUCCUCGUCCACCGCRGGUCUGUCCUGGGUCCCGCCGCGCGGUGCGAGGAGCCAGCGCCUUGCACGUCCCCUCCGCCCCGCGCCGGCGCUGCCCCGCUCUCGGCUUGCUCAGCCCGCGACUCGCAGCCUCUCCUAGGGCUGCCGCCGCUCGUUACGGCUUAUUUUGCGCAGGUAUUCAGGCGAUUUGGGGGUUAUUGCACAGGGUCAGUGCCAAGCACCCAGCGCGGGGUCCCGGGGGGGCCGGGAGCGGGGYGGCGGUGAGCACCGGGCUGCUCCGGGUGCAGGGACCCCCAGCCCGGCCCACGGGAAAGCAGCAUCGGCGGCAGACGUGCCGCCUUCGUGGCGCCCCGGGCCGGCGUCGYGGCUGCGGGAGGGACCCUGAGCCGUUCCUGCCGACACGUUCGCGGCUGCGAGCCACGGAGGGGAGCGGAGGUGACGGUGGGGACUGCUCAGGAAGGGAGCAAACAUCCCCAAAGGUCCCACCGCAGCCGAGCGGUGCCGGGGGGGGCCCCGCAUCCCUGGGGGCCCGGCGGCUCCGGAGAGGGGCCCGGCCGCCGCUGCCGCAUGCGCUGCCCCRGAGGCGUUCUCGCCCGGCGCUGACUCAGAGGGAGCAGCGCNNNNNNNNNNNNNNNNNNNNNNNNNNNNNNNNNNNNNNNNNNNNNNNNNNNNNNNNNNNNN